UGGGGAAUUUUGGACAAUGGGCGAAAGCCUGAUCCAGCAAUGCCGCGUGUGUGAAGAAGGCCUUCGGGUUGUAAAGCACUUUUGUCCGGAAAGAAAUCCUUGGCUCUAAUACAGUCGGGGGAUGACGGUACCGGAAGAAUAAGCACCGGCUAACUACGUGCCAGCAGCCGCGGUAAUACGUAGGGUGCAAGCGUUAAUCGGAAUUACUGGGCGUAAAGCGUGCGCAGGCGGUUUGCUAAGACCGAUGUGAAAUCCCCGGGCUCAACCUGGGAACUGCAUUGGUGACUGGCAGGCUAGAGUAUGGCAGAGGGGGGUAGAAUUCCACGUGUAGCAGUGAAAUGCGUAGAGAUGUGGAGGAAUACCGAUGGCGAAGGCAGCCCCCUGGGCCAAUACUGACGCUCAUGCACGAAAGCGUGGGGAGCAAACAGGAUUAGAUACCCUGGUAGUCCAGCGCCCUAAACGAUGUCAACUAGUUGUUGGGGAUUCAUUCCUUAGUAACGUAGCUAACGCGUGAAGUUGACCGCCUGGGGAGUACGGUCGUCAAGAUUAAAACUCAAAGGAAUUGAC
rnacentral:rRNA from 1 species